AUUGAACGCUGGCGGCAGGCCUAACACAUGCAAGUCGAACGGUAACAGGAAACAGCUUGCUGUUUCGCUGACGAGUGGCGGACGGGUGAGUAAUGUCUGGGAAACUGCCUGAUGGAGGGGGAUAACUACUGGAAACGGUAGCUAAUACCGCAUAACGUCGCAAGACCAAAGAGGGGGACCCCCGGGCCCCUUGCCAUCGGAUGUGCCCAGAUGGGAUUAGCUUGUUGGUGGGGUAACGGCUCACCAAGGCGACGAUCCCUAGCUGGUCUGAGAGGAUGACCAGCCACACUGGAACUGAGACACGGUCCAGACUCCUACGGGAGGCAGCAGUGGGGAAUAUUGCACAAUGGGCGCAAGCCUGAUGCAGCCAUGCCGCGUGUAUGAAGAAGGCCUUCGGGUUGUAAAGUACUUUCAGCGGGGAGGAAGGGAGUAAAGUUAAUACCUUUGCUCAUUGACGUUACCCGCAGAAGAAGCACCGGCUAACUCCGUG
rnacentral:rRNA from 1 species